rfam:Asian citrus Psyllid, Diaphorina citri - Florida Strain, whole genome shotgun sequence.
GCCAGUGGCGAUAGCUCGUUGAAUGCACCAGUUCCUGAUGUAUCACUGAAGUUAAGUAACGUUGGGCGUGGUUGGUAAUCGGAUGGGUAACCAUCUGUGAUUGUGAUGUCAAAAGUC